CCUACGGGAGGCAGCAGUGAGGAAUAUUGGUCAAUGGACGAGAGUCUGAACCAGCCAAGUAGCGUGAAGGAUGACUGCCCUAUGGGUUGUAAACUUCUUUUAUAUGGGAAUAAAAUGUUCCACGUGUGGGAUUUUGUAUGUACCAUAUGAAUAAGGAUCGGCUAACUCCGUGCCAGCAGCCGCGGUAAUACGGAGGAUCCGAGCGUUAUCCGGAUUUAUUGGGUUUAAAGGGUGCGUAGGUGGAUUGUUAAGUCAGUUGUGAAAGUUCGCGGCUCAACCGUAAAAUUGCAGUUGAAACUGGCAGUCUUGAGUACAGUAGAGGUGGGCGGAAUUCGUGGUGUAGCGGUGAAAUGCUUAGAUAUCAGGAAGAACACCGAUUGCGAAGGCAGUUCACUGGACUGCAACUGACACUGAGGCUCGAAAGUGUGGGUAUCAAACAGGAUUAGAUACCCUUGUAGUC
rnacentral:rRNA from 1 species